CUCUUGGGAAGUCCUCGUGUUGCAUCCCU
rnacentral:rRNA from 1 species